UCAAUGGAGAGUUUGAUCCUGGCUCAGGACGAACGCUGGCGGCGUGCUUAACACAUGCAAGUCGAACGAGGCCGGAGUGCUUGCACUCCGAGUCGAGUGGCGAACGGGUGCGUAACACGUGACCAACCUGUCCUAGGGUGAGGGACAACCUGGGGAAACCCGGGCUAAUACCGCAUGACGUCCAGACCUCGCAUGGGGACUGGAUCAAAGAGGGCCUCUGCUUGCAAGCUCUCGCCAUGGGAGGGGGUCGCGGCGUAUCAGCUAGUUGGUAGGGUAACGGCCUACCAAGGCUACGACGCGUAGUGGGUCUGAGAGGACGACCCGCCACAUUGGGACUGAGAUACGGCCCAGACUCCUACGGGAGGCAGCAGUGGGGAAUAUUGCGCAAUGGCCGAAAGGCUGACGCAGCGACGCCGCGUGUGGGAGGAAGCUCUUCGGGGUGUAAACCACUGUCGGAGGGGAAGAUCCCCGCCAAUUCGAAUAGGGUUGGCGGCUUACGGUACCCUCAAAGGAAGCACCGGCUAACUCCUUGCCAGCAGCCGCGGUAAGACGGAGGGU
rnacentral:rRNA from 1 species